UUACCUGCAAAGAAAGAAGAAAAAGGUUACCAAAUUAGUUACACUUUCGCAUAAUCUUUACUCUAAUGUGUGCUCCGAUAACAGACAACAAAGAAGAAGGCUUAAAAGGGAAUGUCGAAAAGGUGCUGGAAGAAAUAUCGGAAAGGGACUGCGAGAGCCGAGAAAACUGAUCCCAAAGUCAAGUGCAGUUUUGGGUUCGAUGGUAAAUGCAUCUCGGAUUACAUCAAGGGCAAAACCACGAAACGAUGGGGAGGGACAAGGACAAAAACAAGAACGAGGCGAAACCGCAAACAUAAUUUCAUUUUUCCUGCUGUGCAAAACAGUGAAAAUAAUUUGACAACUUACUUAAAAAUAUGUCACAUGAAGAAGGUCCAGGACAUGCCCCCACACAAGC